rnacentral:tRNA from 1 species
GUAUUGUGGCUCAGUGGUAGUGUGCUUGCCUGGCAUGUGUGAAGCACUGGGAUUGAUUCUCAGCAUCAUACA